AGAUACAAAAAAGUUGAAAACUAACAAAAUAUUUAUUUUUAAAUUUUGCACAGUUUGUCAGUUAAUAAUUUUUUGAUA
ensembl:ncRNA W10G11.23 ncRNA